rnacentral:misc_RNA from 1 species
GAUGAAGAACGCAGCGAAAUGCGAUAAGUAAUGUGAAUUGCAGAAUUCAGUGAAUCAUCGAAUCUUUGAACGCACAUUGCGCCCCCUGGUAUUCCGGGGGGCAUGCCUGUUCGAGCGUCAUUUCACCACUCAAGCCUCGCUUGGUAUUGGGCAACGCGGUCCGCCGCGUGCCUCAAAUCGACCGGCUGGGUCUUCUGUCCCCUAAGCGUUGUGGAAACUAUUCGCUAAGGGGUGCUCGGGAGGCUACGCCGUAAAACAAACCCAUUUCUAAGGUUGACCUCGGAUCAGGUAGGGAUACCCGCUGAACUUAAGCAUAUCAAUAAGCGGAGGA